rnacentral:rRNA from 1 species
GGCGGACGGGUGAGUAACGCGUGGGAAUCUACCCAGUAGUGGGGGACAACUACCGGAAACGGUAGCUAAUACCGCAUACGCCCUAUGGGGGAAAGGCUUCGGCCGCUAUUGGAUGAGCCCGCGUCAGAUUAGCUAGUUGGUAGGGUAAAGGCCUACCAAGGCAACGAUCUGUAGCUGGUCCGAGAGGACGAACAGCCACACUGGGACUGAGACACGGCCCAGACUCCUACGGGAGGCAGCAGUGGGGAAUAUUGGACAAUGGGCGAAAGCCUGAUCCAGCAAUGCCGCGUGUGUGAAGAAGGCCUGCGGGUUGUAAAGCACUUUCAGUUGGGAAGAUGAUGACGUUACCAGCAGAAGAAGCACCGGCUAAAUCCGUGCCAGCAGCCGCGGUAAUACGGAUGGUGCGAGCGUUAAUCGGAAUUACUGGGCGUAAAGCGCGC